GACGAACGCUGGCGGCGUGCCUAAUACAUGCAAGUCGAACGCUUUUUCUUUCACCGGAGCUUGCUCCACCGAAAGAAAAAGAGUGGCGAACGGGUGAGUAACACGUGGGUAACCUGCCCAUCAGAAGGGGAUAACACUUGGAAACAGGUGCUAAUACCGUAUAACACUAUUUUCCGCAUGGAAGAAAGUUGAAAGGCGCUUUUGCGUCACUGAUGGAUGGACCCGCGGUGCAUUAGCUAGUUGGUGAGGUAACGGCUCACCAAGGCAACGAUGCAUAGCCGACCGGAGAGGGUGAUCGGCCACACUGGGACGGAGACACGGCCCAGACUCCUACGGGAGGCAGCAGUAGGGAAUCUUCGGCAACGGACGAAAGUCUGACCGAGCAACGCCGCGUGAGUGAAGAAGGUUUUCGGAUCGUAAAACUCUGUUGUUAGAGAAGAACAAGGAUGAGAGUAGAACGUUCAUCCCUUGACGGUAUCUAACCAGAAAGCCACGGCUAACUACGUGCCAGCCGCCGCAGUAA
rnacentral:rRNA from 1 species